AAUACUUGUCGCUUUGAGAUUUUGUUUGCAACGUUUGAUCAUUCGUCUUAUUCAAAAAAAAUAUAAAAUUAUUAUUUAUUUUGUUUGUGACUUGCUUUAUUAUCAAAGUAUUUUAAGUAUGACUUAUCAUUUUUUCAUAUUUGCACUAAUUUUUCAAAUAAGACGAAUGGUCAAGCGUUGCAAGCAAAAAGUCAAAGCGACCACUAAU
rnacentral:pre_miRNA from 1 species